GGCUGACGAGGUGGUCUUCUCCAGAGGUGGUCUGCUCGUGCUCUCCUGGUUCUUCCAUAACAACAAGGGGUAGUGCCAGUCGUGGCUCAGCAGGAUAGCAUAAGCUUGCCCUUGUUCUUUUGUGUUUGAAUCAGAUUUGCUGGUUCUUAGUUUUACAUGCACCUAUCAAUCUUUCUUCUGUAUGCAGGUUACACACCUGAUGAUGUUUACGGCGAGGCGCAGGAACAAGCAGAGGCCGAGGAAGUGUGGGCACGCGCGAGGAAGGUUCAGCGGGCUGCAGAACUCGGGCCACGCCCGGAGCGCCGCGCCAACGCAUGUGUGCGUGGUCGGUGGGUUGGCCAAGAUCUGCAUUCUGCGACUUCGU
rnacentral:lncRNA from 1 species